rnacentral:hammerhead_ribozyme from 1 species
AUCCAGCUGACGAGUCAAAAGUAGGACGAAACAUGCGUCAAACUGGAU